rnacentral:lncRNA from 1 species
CAAUGAGUGCUCUAGCGAUUCUGAACUCAUCAAAAGGAUCUGACACACAGACCCAUAUUCUUUCAUCAAAAUGUUUUUUAACAUCACCGUUGUUGUAGGCAAAUUGAGCAAGAGUUGUUUUGCCUAUGCCCCCCAUCCCAACAAGUGAGAUGAUACAAGGGCCUUUCUGUUCCUUACUGUUAAGGAAGCACACAUCAGUAGCAUAGACUGUAAAGCAGAGGAUAGCAGCAGCUCCAGCUUACAGUUAAGAGUUGAUGACAUGGCAUGCCAGCUGGCACCUGGUGGUUAUGUAAUCACUUGUUCACGUGAUAAUUAGUUGAAGUUGUUAUAGCUAGCUAGAAUUAGUUUUGUAAUGAGUUAACUAAUUGAGCUUAGCAUCAGUUGUGUAUAUAAGCAUCUCUGUGUACAGUUUCAUAAGUAAGUUUUAGAUGAAUAAAAUCGUGUGAGCAAAAAGCUUUCAGUUCUUAAAUUUUCUCAGCUUCCAAACAUCCUUUUUCUGAUUUCUUACUUGGUAUCAGAGCUUUAAUGGCAUCUGUGAAUCUUGCCUCUUCCUUAAAUCAAGUUCAUAAUACCGCUGCACAUUCAACAACAGUCAAUUUCACUUUCAAUACUCCCGUUAAACUUGAUCAAUCAAACUAUUUGAUCUGGAGAUCUCAAGUGCUUGCUUCAAUUUGAGGAAAUAGACUUGAGAAAUUUAUCGAUGAGUCAAUCACUCCACCUCCUUCUCAUAUUGCUCAUAGAUAUGAUGAUGAGCUUAGAUCUGUGGAGAAUCCAGAAUUUGCAACCUGGAGAGCACAAGAUCAAAUACUUCUCGGUUGGCUUCUUUCAUCCAUGAGUGAAGGUAUCAUCAGUUUGGUGUUCAAUCUUGAGACUUCAUUGGAGGUAUGGAAAGCUGUUGAAACUCAAUUUGGAUCUCAAUCAAAGUCUAGGUUAUUACAUUUGAGAUAUUUGAUGAAUUCCACUAGAAAGGAUGAUCUUAAAAUGACUGAAUACUUCAUUAAAAUGAAAUCUAUUGCUGAUAACAUGGCUGCAGCAGGAAGUGCAUUAAGCAAUGAUGAUUUGAUUUUACAUGUACUCUCUGGUCUAGGUCCUGAUUAUAAUUCUGUUGCUACUUACAUCACUGGACAAGUAGGAACUGGAAAAAUGAAUGUUAAUGAGGCUUAUGCUAUGCUGUUAACUCAAGAGGCUAGGAUUGAUCAACAAACUCAUAUGCUUGCUAAUAUGGAUGUUAAACACAAUUUAGAAGCUAACUUUGCACAAAAUAGAGGACCUAAGAGAGGAAACUUCUCAGGAGGAAAAGGUUUUGGUAGUCUUGGAUAUAAUACAGGCUACAGUAAUGCUGGAAAUUCUGGAAAUAGUGGUUACAGAGGAAAUUAUGGAUCAUCUGGUUUUGCUGUUGGAAGUGCUGGAAAUAAUGGUUACAGAGGAAACUAUGGAGGAGGAGGAGGAGGAAACUGGAAUAAUAAUAAUGCUGUCAAUAAUGGCAAAACACCUGGAAAUCCUAAAUCUCAGUGGAAUCCUUCUAAGCCUACAUGUCAAGUUUGUCUCAAAAUAGGUCACACAGCUAAUGUAUGCUGGAAGCUGGAAGAAUUUAUUGCUUCAGGAGCUUAUAGACCACCUCCAAACAGGAAUCCGAAAUCUGCAUAUCUGGCAAACAUGGAAGGAUCAUCUGAUACAAAUUGGUACCUUGACAGUGGUGCCACUCACCAUCUCACAAAUGACAUGAACAAUAUGCAGAUUUCUGAAUCAUUUACAGGUACAUCUAAACUCAUUAUUGGUAAUGGUACUGGCUUGAAUAUUACACAUAUUGGAAAAGCUGUUCUGAGAUUGCACAACUGCACUGAUUCCACUGUGAUUAAACUAAACAAUAUACUUUUAGUUCCACAAAUAACCAAGAACCUUAUAAGCAUUUCUCAGCUAACCAAAGACAACAAUAUCACAGUUGAGUUUGCUGACAAAUCUUGUUUUGUGAAGGACAAGGUGAAGAAUUUGAUCAUACUGCAGGGCAAGGCUGAAAAAGGCUUGUACAGAUUGCUAUUAGUGUCCUCAAAUAAAACUUCUGCUCAGUCUUCCUUUCAAGGUCAUGUUGCCAAUAUUGAGUCUUCUUUUCAGUCUUUUGUUCCUUUGUCAAUGCUAUCAACUGUCAAUCUCAGUCAGUCAAAUAAUCACUGCUUGUAAAAUGUGGCAGCAGAACCUUGUAUGAACUCUAAGUGUCUUUUAAGCACUUCUGUAUUACAUCAGAGGCUAGGUCAUCCUAACUCUAAGAUCUUAAACCAUGUAAUACAAUCUUGUUCCUCUUUCAAACCUAUCAAUGGAAAUAAAGAGUUUGAUUCAUGUGAUGCUUGUAAAUUUGGGAAAAUGCAUAGAUUACACUUUCCAGCAACUGAAACAAAAACAAAACAACCUUUAGCCAUUUUACAUACUGAUUUAUGGGGACCAGCUCCAGUGGUUUCCACACAAGGUUAUAAAUAUUAUGUGAGCUUUGUGGAUGAUUUUACCAGAUUCACUUGGAUAUUUCCCCUGAAAACCAAAGAUGAAACUCUUCAUGUGUUCAAAAUUUUCAAAGCUCAAGUUGAAAAACAAUUAGAACAGCCCAUUAAAUGUCUUCAAUCUGACUGGGGAGGGGAAUUCAGAUCCUUUAGCAAAUAUCUUCAAGAAGAAGGGAUAGAAUUUAGACACUCUUGUCCUUAUACACAUAACCAAAAUGGUUUGGUAGAAAGGAAACACAGACACAUCACUGAAUCAGGACUUACUCUUCUUGCACAAGCUAAAUUACCUAUCAAAUUCUGGUGGGAUUCCUUUCAUACAGCAGCCUAUCUCAUUAACAGAUUACCAACACCUAUUCUAGCAAUGAAAACUCCAUAUGAAUCAAUCUUUCAUCAUCAACCAGACUAUAACUUUCUAAGAACAUUUGGAUGUUCUUGUUUUCCUUUUCUCAGAGAAUACAAUAACCAUAAAUUUCAUUUCCAUACUUCAAAGUGUGUCUUCUUAGGAUAUAGUCCUUCACAUAAGGGCUAUAAGUGUCUACAUUCAUCAGGCAAAAUUUAUAUUGCCAGUCAUGUAUUGUUUGAUGAAACCACUUUCCCUUACAUUUCAGAUCCAAAUUUUUCUUCCUCUUCUAAACACACUUCCUCUGAUUUUCAAUAUAAUCUUUUUCAAAGGUUUACUCUGUCAGUUCCUAAUAGCAUUCUGAACAGUCUUGAAGCUACUGCAGCAGAUCAAUUCCCUGUCAAUCAUUCUUUAUCAUCAAAUUCACCUCAAUCUCAGUCACCCACAAAUCAGACCUCUACAUCUUUGCCUUCACCUGCACCCCAGUCACCAGCACCACAAAUACCCUGCACAACACAAACAUCUCAGCCUAAACCUUCUACUUCCACCCAUCAUAUGAUAACCAGAGCUAGAGCUGGUAUUUUCAAACCAAAGACCUUUCUAACAACUCACAACAGCUUAGAACCAUCCACUGUCCCUGAGGCAUUAUCAGAUCCUAAAUGGAAAGAUGCAAUGCAAACUGAGUAUGAUGCUCUUAUUCACAACAACACUUGGACUCUUGUGCCAAUGUCUUCAACAUACAAGCUAGUUGGUUGUAAGUGGGUAUUCAGAACAAAGUAUAACACAGAUGGAACUGUCAGCAAGUAUAAAGCUAGAUUGGUUGCAAAGGGAUUUCACCAAACAGCAGGGGUAGAUUAUUCAGAAACUUUCAGUCCAGUGGUGAAGUCUUCAACAGUUAGAGUUAUACUCAGCUUGGCAGUUAUAAAAGGGUGGAAAGUCAGACAAAUUGAUGUAAAUAAUGCAUUCCUUAAUGGAGAUCUUUCUGAAAACGUAUAUAUGACACAACCAGAAGGCUUUGUAACUAAGGAAGGGUACAUCUGCAAACUCAAUAAAGCUCUCUAUGGUCUAAAACAAGCUCCACGAGCCUGGUAUGAAAAAUUGAAGGGUUGUCUAACUACUUGGCAAUUUCUUAAUUCAAAGGCUGAUACAUCUCUAUUCAUUAAACAUGAUACAAGGGGCUUAAUCAUAGUAUUGAUCUAUGUGGAUGAUAUUCUAGUCACUGGACCAGAUUCUGCUUUACUAGAGGAUUUUAUUGUUAAACUCAGUCAGACAUUUGCCUUGAAAGAUCUGGGAUUAGUUGCUUACUUCCUAGGUGUUGAAGUUAGUUACUUUGAUGAAGGUAUGCAUCUAUCUCAAACAAAGUAUAUUAAAGACUUGCUGAGUAAAGCAUCUAUGGAGAAUUGCAAAGGGUCUGAUACUCCUCUUAGUACUGGUUUGAAGCUAGAAAGAAAUGUCAGGGGUCCUUUGGGUCAGGAGUUCGAAAAUCCAACACAAUACAGAAGCAUAGUUGGAGGGUUACAAUAUCUAAUUCUCACCAGGCCGGAUAUAGCUUAUUCAGUUCAUAAGCUCAGUCAAUACCUCAGUUCUCCUACUGUUCAGCACUGGUUAGCCUGCAAAAGAGUUCUUCGAUAUCUCCAGUCAACCAUCACCUAUGGUCUCUAUCUCAGAAAGGAAGCAACUCUGGAAAUUGGAAUAACAGGCUAUACAGAUGCUGACUGGGCUUGUGAUCUUGACGACAGAAAAUCAAUUGGAGCCUAUUGUAUAUACUUGGGUAACAAUCUGAUUUCAUGGUCUUCCAAAAAGCAAGCUAUUAUAGCAAAGUCAAGCACAGAAAGUGAAUAUCGAGCCCUGUCAGCAGCAUGCUCAGAAAUUUCUUGGUUGCAGUCUUUAUUUUCAGAACUCAACAUUGCUAAACUACCUACUCCAGUUCUUUGGUGUGAUAACCAAAGUGCAGGGGAGCUAGCUCGCAACCCUGUGUUUCACUCAAAAUCUAAGCACAUAGAGUUGGAUGUUCAUUAUGUUAGAGACAAAGUGCUUGGAAAAGAAUUGGAGGUUAGAUACAUUCCUACUGAAGAACAAGUAGCUGAUGUUCUGACUAAGCCCUUAUCUUUUUCUAAAUUCAGCUUUUUUAGAUCCAAGCUCAAUGUCGUUAGUAGACCUUUGAGCUUGAGAGGGGAUGUUAAGGAAGCACACAUCAGUAGCAUAGACUGUAAAGCAGAGGAUAGCAGUAGCUCCAGCUUACAGUUAAGAGUUGAUGACAUGGCAUGCCAGCUGGCACCUGGUGGUUAUGUAAUCACUUGUUCACGUGAUAAUUAGUUGAAGUUGUUAUAGCUAGCUAGAAUUAGUUUUGUAAUGAGUUAACUAAUUGAGCUGAGCAUCAGUUGUGUAUAUAAGCAUCUCUGUGUACAGUUUCAUAAGUAAGUUUUAGAUGAAUAAAAUCGUGUGAGCCAAAAGCUUUCAGUUCUUAAAUUUUCUCAGCUUCCAAACAUCCUUUUUCUGAUUUCUUACUCUUACUACUCUCAUAUAACAACCUAUUAACGAGUUCGUUCUUCUCUUUUUGUCUACCAAAUAUCUCGGACUCAUCAAUUGAGGAGAUACUUGCCGGCCCUCGUUGAUCCGCUCUCUCAUUACUCUUGGUAACAUUCACAGCAAAACCAAACAUGGCUUUUUGUUUGUCAAUAUCAUCAAGAGUUUCAUUGAUGUCUUUCAUCUUGAGAGCAAUGCGACGACGUAAAAAAAUAGGUUUGCAGCCAAAGCAAGAGGCAGCAGGAAAGAAGGAACCUACCUUCUUCUUAGGAACGAGAGCAUCAUUCUCAUGAUCAUCCACCCCAUCGAUCUGCAGUUUGAGCCUUGCAGUGUUCCACUCACCCAACACAUCUUCCAUGUCGUAACAUGCGCAUCUGAGUCGAUCGAGCCAGAGUCUGACAGUUUCCUCCUUUACUUGCCUUUUCUCUGCAUCAUGGAGCACAGCUCGAAUGGCUUGGAGAUUGCUGGUCAGCUUCUUCGAUUCCUUUCCGACACCCGUUACAAGCCUCAAUUGUUCCUUCGCCUCUUCAACAGCCAUUGAGGUCAGCAGCUCCAAGAGAGGGGAAAUGAUCGCAUCAACCAUGGUGAAAAAGAAAAAUGAGAGAGAGAAGAAAUUGAUGGUGAGUUGUAGCAAAAGUAAGUAGCUAAUGCUGAAAGAAAUGAAGGAGCUGAUAAUGUGGUGAAAAUGUUGCCGUAUUCUUUCAAUUCUUAUAGUACUGCAAGCAAAAUUCUAAUUUAGAAAUAUUUCAUUUCAGCCCCUUGUGAAAGAAGCUACUGUUAUUAUUAUUACUUUUUUUUUUUUUUAAUACCAGCAAAGAGUGAAAAUGACGUACAGUUGUGGACAGGAAAUAAUAUAUUGUUAGGUCCUACAUCGGCGAUUCACGCGGUAUAUAAAGAAACUGACAAAGUUUUCUAUGAUCUCUUUUUAAAUAAUUGAACAAGUUGUUAGAUAAUAUGUAUGAUCGUGUCGUCAUAUUGAGAUUUGGAAGCAUUUAGUUGAAAUACCUUGACCAUCUCUUUCUUAUUUUCUUCUUCUUCUUUUCUUUUUUUUUAAAAAAAUUUGACUCGUUUGCAUAAUUAGUUGAAAGGAAAGAAUGAACAUACUAAUAAACUAGGAAAACGCUGCCACAUAAUAUUUUAAGAUUCAUAUCGAACCACUUUAUUUAGAUUUUGUCAUUUUAGCAGAUGUCUGAUAGUGGGAGUUUAGAGUUUAAUCUCUAACUUUGCUUGUGAAGUGUGAAAAAUCAAAUAAUCUUUUCAACUCGUUUUUCAACAAAAAUAGAUAACAAUUCAUCAUCAGUUAUUUCUCUUUAUGUAUAAAAUGAUCAAUCUAGAGCUGGAUAUUCACAUGUUUUUCUAUUUCUAAUCAUUUCAAAAUAUAAUAUGAACUUUUAAAAAAAAAUCAAAUUGUAAUAAAGUGACAUAAAUAUUAAAAAAUAAAAAUAAAAAGUCAAAAACGUAAUGCCGAAAAAAGACAAAACCUUUUUGUUUGUUCUAUUCAUGGCAUCUAAAUAUGAGAAAUGAUGGGUUGAUUGUCAUUGUGAACAACCAUAUUAAUUGCAACACGUGAAUACCAUCAAAGUUAUAAUAAUUUAUGGACCCAUGCACCUGUAUUUCUAAUUAUUCCGCGUAGAAGGCUAAAGUUUAAUGUGUGAUUCUCAAAUUCAUUGUCAAGUGAUUUGAAUGUUUUAACGAACAGUGCUUACUUUUCUUUUUGAAGGAGCACAAUAACAACUUGAAGAUUCCUGGAAAUUGCCUACAGCACAAAUAUUUUUCAAUUGAACAAAAACCAUCAAUAAUUUUCAAACUUAGAAGAUAUUUAUUUUUUUCCCCAUAACCCACCAAAAACUUUUUCAUUUAGUGUAACUUUGUAAUUUUCUUAGAUGAUACUUAAAACUGCUAAUAUCUUCUAAUUAUUGUUUUAAAAAUCUCAAUGAUUGCAUGCCCAAUUAACGGAUCAGUAAUCUCAGUUUGACAUAUUUAUUUAAAAAAAAGAAAUAUACAGAUUGUUUGAUGACUCUAGAAUAGAACAUCAGGAAAUGAAGAGAAAAAGUAACAUACUUUAUGACGAUCAUUGCCGAUGACAUAACAGAUGUAAGUAUUUAUUGCCAAUUAAUUGACAUUCUUAUCAAGUAAUUGUUUUAGACUUGAAUUCAAAAGCUCUACUCCGCUCUGCCCUUCGGUAAUUCCCCUGUUCAAAAAAUAAUAUUGUUUUAAAAAUCUCAAUAACAACAUGCCCAACAUAACAGGAAGAUUCGACUUUCUCAGAAGAACUACUUGAAAAAAAUCUUGCAACGCUUCAACAUGCAAGAUUGUAAGUCAAUUUCCACCCCACUUUCUGUCAAUUUCAAGUUAUCCUCAAGUAUGUGUCCUAGUAAUGAAGCAGAGAGGAAGGAGAUGUCUCGAGUACCAUAUGCAUCAGCAGUGGAAAGUUUAAUGUUCGCUAUGAUAUAUACUAGACCAGACAUUGCACAAGCAGUGGGAGCAGUCAGUCGAUACAUGGCGAAUCCUGGUGGAGAGCAUUGGAUAGUUGCGAAGAGGAUUCUAAGAUACAUCAGAGGAACCUCAGAUGUUGCAUUAUGUUAUGGAGGAUCAGAGUUUACUGUCAGGAACUAUGUGGAUUCAGAUUUUGUAGGAGAUCUUGAUAAAAGAAAAUCCACUACUGGCUAUGUGUUUACACUUGCGGGAGCAGCUGUAAGCUGAGUUUCUAAACUGCAGACCGUUGUGGCUCUAUCUACAACAGAAGCAGAGUACAUGGCAGCUACACAAGCUUGCAAGGAAGCUAUCUGUAUACAAAGGUUAUUAGAGGAGCUCGGGCAUAAACAAGAGAAAAUUUAUGUGUUUUGUGACAGUUAGAGUGCCUUGCACAUUGCAAGGAAUCCAGUCUUUCAUUCCAGGACAAAGCACAUAGGAGUUCAGUAUCACUUUUUUCGAGAAGUAGUGGAAGACGAAAGUGUGGAUUUACAAAAAAAAAUCCAUACGAAUGAGAACCUAGCAGAUAUUUUGACCAAGCCGAUCAAUGCUGGCAAGUUUAUCUAGAGUAAAUUAGGGAUGGCAAAAACCGGGUCCGGGUCCGGGUUUGGCCUUUCCGGUUCCGGACCCGGAUGCCAAUUCUCCUUCCCGGAUCCGGAUAUAAACCCGCAUUUUCUUUCUCCGGGUUCGGUACGGGUUCAACCCGGAAAAAUCUGGGUUUCCGGAUUACGGGUUUUGAACCCGAAAAGUUGGAGUCUGGAACAAUAAAGCCUUUGUGCAUGCCCCUUUUGACUCUGGACGAGUGGAUUAGCGGUUUAUUUGAGGUGUCGGUUGAGACACCGGCGAGUCCAGGAAGCAGCAGCCAUGAAAGCAGUGAGCAAGGUUUGAGAUCCAGCAUCCACGAACAAGAGAGAGAUGAGAUCGAGCGCCAACAAGAGUGGAUUAGCAGUUUCUUUAAGGUGUCGGUUGAGGCACCAGCAAGUCGAGGAGGUGGCAGCCAUGAGAGUAGCGAGCAAGGUUUGAGAUCCAGCAUCCAAGAACAAGAGAAAAAUGAGAUCGAAUUUGAUGAGAGAUGAGAGAUAAGGUUGAAUUUGAUGAUGCCAAAGAUUGUUUGUUGCUUUUGAUGAUGAUUGAUGAUGAAUUGACAAUUAUUUAAAUUGAUGUUGAGGAUGAUAUUGAUUGUUAUUAUUGUUGAUAAUGAAUUGACGAUGGGUGGAUGAUGAUGAAUUGAAUUGAUGUUGGGGAAGAGGAAAAUAAAGGUGGCGGCUAAGGUGGGGAUUUAGGGUUUCUUUUCGUUUCUUUCCUUUUUUUUUUUUUUACUUUUGGCUUUUAUAUUUAUAUUUAAUAAUAAAAAUUAAUUAAUUAAUAAAUUAUUAAUAUUUUAGUGCAGGUCCGGGUUCCUGGAAUCCGGGUUUGGUUGAACCCGCAACCGGACCCGCAUGUAUCCGGGUUUGAAAAAAUGCUACCCGGAUCCGCAUUUUUAUGCACCCGGGAUGGGUUUAACCCGGACCGGAUCGUCCGGGUUUAUCCGGGUUCGGGCCGGGUCCGGAAAAAUUUGCCAUCCCUAGAGUAAAUCCUCUUGUGGCCUAGCAGAAACGUAGGCAACAUGAUUAUGUCGAAUCAGAAAGGAUGGUGUGGAGAUUGAUUGAUUCUCAAUCUAAUCUCCAAGUGGGAGAAUGUUAAAGUCAUGGUUGGGAGGUGUCACCCAAAGAAAGAAACAAAAGAGAAAGAAGAAAAAGAAGAAAAAAUGGGUACCGGGCUAUAAAGGGCAAAGAAAAAAAAUUAAUAAAAUAAUAAAAAUAAUAUAUGAUUGAUGAAUAGUGCCAAAACUUUCUCUAUAAAUAGAAACGAAGAGAAUGAGCAAAUUCAUUUCAUCGAGAGAGAAGCAUUUCCUUCCUUUAGAGAGGUGAGAGUAUCAAGAGUUUAAUAAACUCUUGAGUGAUUAGUGUUUUGAGAGUUUGGGUGUAUUGGGAUUUUAGGUAGUGAGGUAAAAUACCACAAUACUUGUAACUCCUUUUCACUAGUAAAAUAUUUUUCUUCUUUUUCGCCCGUGGACGUAGGCUAAAAGUCGAACCACGUAAUUUCUUGUGUCCACUUUUUGUGCUUGUUCUUUGUUUUCUUACAAUUUCAUUUUAGCUGCGUGUUUGCUUCACUCAUCAAGUAAACAUCAUCAAUCAUUUUCGUUUUGAAUUAUGAUUUUUCAAUCCAAAAAGUAGAUGCCAGUAAAAGAGAGAGUUAAACUUGACUCACCCGCUUUUCUAAUUGUUCUGAUUUGUUGUAUAAUUUAUUCUAAAGUUAUUUUAUAAUUUAUCUAAAACGUAUAUAACACGUUCUCAAUUUUAUUACUAUAAACUUACGCUGUAUUGUCUAGUCUUAGUAAGUAACGACUCAAUUGGAUGUGGGAGGAUCCCUUCCGCUUUGACCAAAAAAACUGUUUCGAGGACAGUAUUCUAACUCAACUCAAGUGCUGAACAAAGAAAGAAACGCUGAGAACAUUAAUGAAAGUUAUCAUACAGAGCAAACAAGUCAAGAGUACACACAAGAGGAGAAAUAAUUAACACAAUUAUUUUACAUGGUUGAGUUUCUCUAAGCCCACGUCCACGAAGACAGACACUUGGCCAAGGAAAUAAUUGACCAAGGAAUUUACAAGGAAACUCUCUUUUCCAGAAGUUACAAGAGCCCUGACACUAUUCCUCUCGAGGUCUAGUUCAAGUCGCCCAAGCCUCUCAAGCUCCCUUAAGAACUCUGCUUUCUUGCUGUUCAAGAAAGCGCCUGAUUGGAAUCACAUGCUCCACGUGACAUCUGGCAUAACUAAAUCUGCUGCCGUACCCGGCCAAUUUAUGAUGCCACUUAUGAUACCCUGUCUCGUCAGCUUCCUUGCCCUGCGUCAUCAUAGGACCUUACAUCUUGGAACCUCCAUGAAAGCUGAAUCUCUAACAGCCCAUCAUAAAAGAUAGUAGUUUUAAAAUAUGGAAAUUACCAAAAAUACCUGCACAUUUUGAAAUUUGUCAAAAAAUGAAGAGUUGAAAGCAAUAGGAAGACGUAAUUAACCAACCAAUUUGAUUCCUCUGAUCGCUUUCAUCUCAGGACUCUUUGUCUUCCCGUGCGUCUUCGAUUCCACAGGACAAUCUUGGAUUGAAUUUAUACAUCAGAAGAAAAUAUCAAUAUGCCCAAAAUAAAAAGUUGCUUCCAGUGCAGAAAUAAGAGAAAUUGACACACCUUUUUCCACCACAGAAGAUGGUGUCAUAUAGAAGUAUUCUGUCGCAGACUUAACAUACCUAUCAAGUAAUUAAUAAUUCAAGAUAUAAUAACUCUUGACAAUUAUAUAUUCAUAUACAUGUUAGUAGCAUGAUGCUACCAAUAUUCGCACCUUUAGCAUUCAAACACUUGAUCAUUGAAAGAAUUUAAGAAAAAUGUUGUUUGGUUACUGAGAAAAUAUCUCAACAAAAUUUUCAGAGAACUUUCCGGAAUUCUUGCCUGUAUUUCACUUAAUGAAAAAUGUUAAAAUUACAUUCAAUUUAUAUUCGAUGCUUUAGCAUUACUAUAACUAACUCAGAACAUACUACACAUGCUUAACUACAGCUCAAUAUAUACAGAGUAAGUCAUAACAAACUUUUAACUACUUAUGCUGAGGUGGCAACUGAGCUGUUAUUCUGCUUAAUCAUCUGACGUCAACAACUUGCUGGUUUUCCUCAGCUUGAGCGUCUUCUUCCUUUCUGGACAAUGAGCUUCUUUAACAAUCAUUGAAGCAGCCUUUCUCACCAACCUAGCUCCGACAUUAAUCUAUAGAGUUAUCAAGACCGACAUUCGAUGACGUAAUUACACUUUAAUUGGAUUACAAAUAACAAACGAAUAAAACGGAGCAGCAGAAGAAAUUACCAUUGGCUGAUGGUUGUUGCAGGCGUUAUGAGAAUUCCUCAAGGGCUUCCUUUGAUCAACUUCCCAUUGGUCUCGAUGUUGGAAACGUGGGAUAUCUUAGGCCCUGUAUCCUUCUUGCAACGCUCUUCUGAAAUAGAACAUCUCCCACCUUGCCCCUGCCGAAGUUAUGAGUCACCCCUCAAUUUCAAUCGAAAUACUGCUCUGCCAUGCCCUUACACCGUAACGUAAUUACUCUGUUCAAAAAUCUUGCUUUGAAAAUCUCAGUAAUUGAACAUGCUCAAGAAAUCAGUCUCAGUUUGAUGCAUUACAAAAAUAAUCAACCACACAAUGGGCUGAUGAUUAUCUACAAUUGAAAAUUAGCAAAUGAAGAGGAGAGAGCAACUACAAAAGCAACAAUGUCCGAUUAAGCCGCUGAUACAAUCAAUCAAACAAUAAGAAAAGGAUCAACAACACAAAAAGCACACGCAAGGCACAAAGAUUUACAUGAUAUAUCCACAGGUGGUGAGCUGGUAUCCACUAUACGUGUGAUGAAAACAAGUGUAUAUAUAUAAAGAACACCACCACCUGUCUCCUCACAAUAAACCCCUAGAACACAAGCGCAAAUAAAAAUGAGCCAAUUCCUGCUCUGCUCUGCCGUCAUGUACGUAACUCCUCUGCUAAGAAAUAUUGCCUUAAAAUAUCGGUAGCAUUUGCAUGCAUGACCAGCAAAUCAGUUAGACAUAUAAAAUUAUCAACCACACAGGAAAUCAGCAAAUCAGUGGUUUCAUGAAUUUGUAAUAUUUGAACAUCAGAAUAUGAAGAGUACAGGGCAAUGGGAAAAAGUAAUUAACCAACCAAAUAAAUUUAAAUCCAAAUAAGAUAAGUAACGUAUGAAAGGAGGGUUGAAGCCCACCUUAGAAACUCCUGUCUAUGAAGGCCAAUAAAUCUCCUGCUAUCUGUUUGCUUAGAUCUUUAUGUAUUUCUAUACACUUUUUACUCUACUCUGUUGUUCAACCUUCUUUGGUUUUAUGUAUCUAUUUUAUGUGUAUUGAGAAGGCUAGUUACUAGGUGUCAACUCUUCUCUUUAAAAGAUAAAGUUUUGAGAAAAGGAAAGAAAAGACACCCACGGCCAACUACCUUGUCAUAUUUUGCAUACCAAAAUUGGAUAUUAAUUAUGGUCACUGUCUUCAACCUGCUAACCAAAUCCAAAAAAUUGGUCCUCCCGAUUGAGUAAGUGAGCCCUGAAAAGACAUUACCCAGCUUAAAAGCCAAAUGAAUGUAGACUUGUGAUUGGUGUAAUUGGUUUUAAAGAAACUAGUAUGCAUCCCCACUGAAAACCAGUAAAUGGAGUUGAAGAAGAUGCUAAUGUACCACAGCUAACAUAAACAUAAUUUGAUCAGCCGAAUGACUACCAAAUGAAAAAGCAACAUAAACUUAACAGAACUGUUAAGGAUUAAUCGAAGACACAUAUAUAUUUGUGCCAAUUUUCACACCUUUAGCAUUCAAACCUUGCUCUAGAACAACUGCUGUGGUCCGAUGCUGCAGGCAAAAAAUUUGACCUACGAAGCAGCCUCACUCACCAACCUAGCCCCAAAUAAAUUUUUUGAAAUGCCUUGAAAACCUUAACAUUAUAUCCAAAUAAACAUAACUUGUGUUUGUGGCGUAAUGAGAUUGCAGUGCAUUCGUAGAGUGUACACUUAUCUGCCAUUUCGUCGGAACAAAUUUUUUUUACUUCUCUUAAAAUUUGCAUAAUAAAUAGCAAUAUGGACAAGUACCUACUUAUGAAAAUGUUAAGAUAUUUUUACAUUUCUUCUUUUUUUUUUAAGGAGUAAAAGUGAUUAUUCAUUUUGUUGAUGCCCAUUUACUCUAUAAAUGCCACCAUGAUCACUGAGAUAUGUUCAUGAAUAAGCAUCUACCAUCAGAUCGAUUCGAAAACGGAAAGGAAUAGAGAAAUAAAAGGUGAAACAAAUGAAAUCAUUUAAGGAGAGGAACGAGAUUCCAUUGUCUGGUUAUAACUGGAAAUCAAGCAUGAAAAAGGAAUUGAUUUUUUUUUUUUUUGGUUGACAGAAUACACUUUCAACUAGAAAAAAAAAAAGAAAAUUUGAAUCUGAUAUUUAACAGAAAAUUCAAAUAAAAUCAAAUUCAUUUGUAAUUUAAGUUCAUUUCAUUCUUAAAAUUUGACAUAUAGAAUAAAAUUUAUAACUGUUUCAAAUACAAAAACAUAUUAUUAUUCAAAAUAAUAAAAAUUUUCAUGGCAAAAAGUUAAAAAAAUAAAAUAAAACUGUUUGACGUAGAAUGGAAUUGAGCAGGGAAAGUUUGAUGGAAGAUGCACACACUAGUUGUGGAAUUAUACCGUUAGUCAUUUUAUUAAAAAAAAUAAAAUAAGAAUAAAAAUCACCUCGUUGAAAGAUUAUUUGCUACGAUUAAAAAUUUUAUUUGGUGAGCAAAACGACGUAGGGUCCUCAAAAACCUCAUGAUGGUGCAUGUAUAUUCAAAGCUUCAUGACAUCAUAAUAAAAAUGUUUUGUAUUAUGAUGAGUCAUACGUUCACUUGUUGAACUCGACCCUCACAGCGACGGAGAGGACCAUUUGCUGUAUCCUCGAAGACUACCAGAAGGAGGAUGGUGUGUGUGGAAGUACCAGAAGAUCUGCAAUAUUGGAAAUGGUUCAGCCGUGAUCAUUGGCAAUCAGACAAGAUUAUUGGCAAUAUUGUAGGCUUGUGUCUUUUACCCGUUAGAAGGAUAACUUGUGCACUUAAAUUUGGCACAUCACUUGUUUGACAAAAUUACAAAGCAAAUGUGUAACUCGUGUACUCUUCCUUUUUUAUCAUAAUUUUUGUACUAUAAAUAUGUACCUGCAAAUAGUGAAAUAUACACACAAAAUCAAUAAUUUCAUGAAUUAUUCUUCUUCUAAUUUUUACAACCUUUCAUGGGUGGAAAGACUUUCCUGCCUUUCAAGGCCUUGCCAGCUGCUGAAGCCGAAGGGAAGAAAUCCAAGGCUUUUUUUAGUUCAUCUAUUAAAUCCCCAGAAACCAGUUGCAGAACUAGUGGGAAAUCAAAUAUUUUUUAGUGGAAACAAAUACGAAACUAGUCCUCAAAUUAUUGUGUAAUGCAUUUUGCAAGAAAUUUGAUAGCCUGAUUAUGUUAUCCACAUCUUGAACUUUUCAAGUUAUGACGUGUCGGGAUUUGUUGCUAAACCAUACAAUUAUGAAAUUUUGCAACUCAAUCUUGUAUUGUUGUAUUUCCUUGCUUUCAGUUUUCUUGAUCAGAACAAACAACAUAAAUAAUGAUGCUAUAUUAAAAAAAUUAAAAGAAUUUCACUCGCCCUUCAUUUGUUAUCAACAAUAUGAUAUUGCCUGGGAUCUUUCGGCUUAAUCUUCCAGUGCCCAUUAGCCAAACUUGCAUUCUCAGCGAUUCUUCUCCAUUUCUUAAUCCUUUUAUCCAUAUGCUUUGUUAAUGCACAGUACUGUUGCAAUUUCUUAGGCAUCGCGUCAUAAACUUGCCACCAUUUCUUAUGAGCUGAAUCACUGGCAAAUACAUGGAGACUCACCAUGUCCCAAUUGCAAUCAUAGUCCUUGUAACACAUCCAUGGCUUUAACCCCAGAUAAUGAAUUGCAUAAAGGCCAUCACCCACUUGAUGUUCCUUAUCGUCUUGCUUUGAAAACACCUUCAAAUUGUUGAUUCUCUUAGGCAACCUAUGCCACCAUGUGAACACUUUAUUAAGAAAUCCCUGGUCACCCCCAUUGUAUGACGAAACCUUAAAGCUUUUGAGCAUCAUAUCUUCAAACUUGCACAAUGAUGGCUCAAUCACCAUCACCCCAGAAUUGAACAACACUUUGUCAUUACCUGCUGCUGAUAAUUCAGGGUAAAAGAAGAACUCAUCGGUGUUUUUGAGUAUUAAAAGAUCAGAAUCAAUGAAGAUAACUUUAUCAUAUUCAAUGAGUUGCCAUACUCUAAGCUUGCUAUAAUUCCACUCAUUGUACGAAUCUUUCUUGGCAAAGGGGCUACGUAUGCGCGAAAUCCACUUGGUUUUCCAUCCGGCAGCUCUCAGGCCACGGAGAGACUUGCCACUUAUUGAUUUAUCAUGAAGGAGAACGAGAUCUCUAGUCGAGUUUUUUUGGAUUAUGCUUUGCGCUAAAGCUAUUGCACCACAUACAUAAGCUUCUGAUGAAUGUAGAACUGUUACAUAAGCUUCUCUUUGAUGGUACGUUGUGUAGUUCAGUUUUGCUAGUCUUGCUUGUGACAUAAAAUAUCUCCAUAUUUCUUUGCCUGUAAAUCAAAAUAAAAGCACUCAAAUAUUAAUUUUAGGUUAAUUUUGCAAAAUUAAGAAAAAUGAAUUACGUAUGAAGGUUUGAAGAAGUCGUGGUGUCCGGAUUAGGUAAUACUUUCACGGAAAUUGAAAGUGCAAUUGUCUAAUGCCACAUAAGUCUUAAUUAGGAAAUUGAUUUAUGUUGGCUGAGUUACCAAAUUUUCACACAAUCAGAAUCAUGACUGCUGACUGUAUACAUUCUGUGUCCGUAGAUUAUUACAACUCUUUAAGGAUAUCAAAAUUGAAGAACCCGUCAAAUUUAAACCAAUUACACAUGUGCACGAGUUGUGCAUAUUUAAUUUGGAUGUCUCAUUUAUUAAUGCUGAACGAAUAAUUUACUAAAAUUUGAAACUAAAGAAAGCAGUAAAUUAAUGACCCACCAUGACCAAAUAAAUCACGCACUAACCUUUUCUUUUUUUCUUUUUUUUUUUCCUGAGAACACCUCAAAUUUCCGAAGAAAAAUUAAAUAAAAUCUCCUGCAUCCAUCUCUUGUGAACAUUUUAUAUUUUUUUAUAUGCAACAAGCUUUCAUUAAAAUUUAAGAUUCUAUCUCUAGAAUAAACUCCAAAACAUAUCGAUUAAAAUAACAAUAAGAGCUUAAAUACUACUUCGUAAAUAAUCAAGAAAUAUGACAAGCAACAAGAACAACAACUACCAAUUCAUAAAGAUUUUUACGAAAUUUUAAGUCAAAUUUUAAUGCAUAAUAACAUUGUAAAAUUCUUGGAACUGAGUACAAACAGUAAGUUAGCAUUUGGUUAGAAAAUUGUACAGAUUUUCUUCUUCAAGUGAUAUGACCAAAUUUUCUUCAGUUUCCAAACUACUCGCCAAACAAACAAAAUGUUUUCGAGAAACCAGGGAAAAAAAAAAAAGAAGCAAAACUCACCAGUUUGAGCAAAAGUAGGAGCAAUUUGGCAUGACCCAACAGGCAUCAAUACUUUAUGUUUCAAUCUCCUCAAGUCAGGUUUAUAAACCCAAUAAUCCCCUGCAUGCUCCACAAGAUCAUCGCACCUGAACAUCUCCACCAUGGCCCCACAAGAACCCACAAAGACAACGUACACCGCCCGAUCAACAUCAGGUUUCAACCACCCACUCUCCACCGCUAGAUUCGCCACCACGAGAUUCACUUGCAACCUAAACACAUCCCUCAUCCCACCACCUCCUUCUCCGUCCCCUCCGCAGGGAAUCCUAGCCACUAUCACGUCGAGGUACCGGUAAUCCUGCGCCGGCAUGGGUAUAUCCGGGCACGCCGGUGGGGCCCACUUGUGAUCUUCAUCAAUCCACUCCGGGAAAAAGUCUUCCCAUUUUUUAUCCUCACCCACAUGGUCGAAACGUACGUGAACAGUUUCAACAUGCAUGUCACCACGUACGCUAUUAUAAUCAUCAUCGUCGUCGUCGUUUAUAUUUACUAAACCAACUUUAAUUUUGUGACCGUUGAUAUGUUUUUCGACAAUAUCGAGCCAUUUGGGUCUGUGUAAUAAGUGGUUAGUAUUAUAUUUAUUAUUUGGCUCGUAAGCGAAAUGGGGUUGUUGUUUAGGUUUGAACGACAAAACGACAAGGAAAAGCGAGAAGGAGAGGAGAAGAAGAGAGAUUAUGAAGAGCUUUUGACUGAAAUUUGUGGGUUUGUUAGAAGAAGAUGGUGAUGAAGCUGCAGCCAUUUGAUUGAAUUUUGCUUCACGUCUUUGUUGAAAGUUGAAAGAUUUGUUUUGAGUCGACGUUUUGUUUUAAGUUAUAUCCAACGCAUCGAAUUGGAAUGAAAAGAAUCAAAGAUUGCAUUGCAGCAUGUUGAGCUUUGUCAAAUUGUCUUCUUAUGUGUAGGUAUUUUAUUUUCACACGCAUUUGAUGCGCGUGGGUAGGUUUACUAAAUGUAUUUCUUUUAUUAUUAUUAUUAUUAAGAUUAAAAUAUACUUCUAAGUUGUCAAAUUAGGCUUCUGAUAUCCUAUAUAACAAGGCAACAAACAUAAUAAACUUGUUACUUGUUAGAGUGCAAUUUAUGCACUAGUUUUGCAUUGUUUACUUCCCUUAAUAUCGAUGUUUUGCACUUAAUAAUAAUGUUUUACUUGUGUUUUACUUUUGUAGGUGCAAUUCUAUUGAUUGAUGAUAAAGUUGAGCUAAAAGAUGAUGUUUAAGGAGGAUUGUUCUCUUGGAGAAAUUAUGAGCGUCAGAAGAACUUUGUUGAUAAGGCGUGGACACGUGCUGUCAACUGCGGACCUGCAGUUUUUAGUUUAACGUGUUUUGUAUUUUUGGUUAUUUUUGUAAUUACGAAUUUAAUAUUUCAGAUAUUAGUAUUUUAUUUUAAAUAGAAUUCUAAAAGAGAAGAGAGAGAGAGUAUUUAAGGGAGGAAUCUAUUGUGAAAAAGGGGGAUUUGGAUUGGAGAAAAAGAAAGAAACCCUAGAUCUAAAUUUUUCUCUUCUCUCUAUGAAGAACUAAACCUAUUUUUCUGGUUGAAGGAUAAUGAAGCUUUGAUUCAUCACUACUGUGAGAUCUUUCUUAUGCUUUAAUUGUUUUAUUGCUUUUUGGGUAUUUGUUUAUUCUCUGAAUUAUUUUCAUGAUUAUGUUUGUUAAUUAGGUAAUUGGCCACUAUUUAAUUAUCAACUUAAUCUAUUGUCAAUUAAAGGAUUCAUCAUAUGAAGAAUUUAAUGUUUGUGACAAAUAACAUAGCAGAGAGUUGUGUUGUGAGAAUAAACAAUCUAAUUUAAAUGAAUCAUCAUAUGUGUUGAUUAGGAUUUGGGUCUCUCUGGUUUUUUAGGCUGUCAAUUGAUUAAAUCCUAUGAUCGUAUCUAGGGUUGUCUAUUGAUUAGGGAAAUAAUCAACGGUCGUACCUUGGUUAUCGACUAGUUAAGGAGAGAUUGGCUAUUAGAGGGUCUCAAUAGCUAUAACCGGUCUAUUCAUAAGUAAUAAUAAUCUAUAUUUGAAUUAAUGAUCAGUAGUCGAAUCAAGCUGAGUUAAUUCCUUCAACCAGAGCUUUCUCCAAUUUGAAUUACAACUUUAAUUUGCAUUCUUGUUAUUUUUAAUUUGAUUUUUAUUAUUGUCAACAAUUCCCCCAUUUUACGUUUUACGUUUCAAAAGGAUUUAAAUAAUUACCGAUCUCUGUGGACACGACCCUGCUCAAUCACUAUAUACAAUUUAUUUAGAGUAGGAAUUUAUUUUUGUUGGCUUCGACAAACAUCAAAUUUUGGCGCCGCUGCCGGGGAUUGGUGUCAUUUAUUUAAUCAUUUUUACGUUUUACUUGGUGUAUGGUUCGUUCUUCUCGUACAGGUACACUUUCAUUUGAUCCUGAAAUUGAGAAGAUAGCUCGCCAGCUGAGACAGCAGACGAAGCGAGCUAAGCAACGAUCAUCGUCGUCUUUGCUUUCUGAAAUAGAUACAGUACCUGAUUUAGUUGAAUCAUCUAGCGAUUCAGAAGAACAAGUGAUGGAUAGACCUGCACCUGUAGAAAGAACUCUUAGAGAGUUAGCUAAACCAGACUUGAAUCAACAACCACUCUGCAUUCAAUAUGUAGAUUUGGAGGUAAAUUUUGAAUUAAAGUCUGGUCUUAUUCAUUUAUUACCCAAGUUUCAUGGUUUUGCAGGUGAAGAUCCUCAUAAACAUCUUAAGGAGUUUCAUGUUGUGUGCUCAAGUAUGAGGCCACAAGGCGUGACUGAAGAGCAGAUUAAGCUGCGUGCUUUUCCGUUCUCUGUAGAUGGGCUAGCUAAAGAUUGGUUAUACUACUUGCCUCUUGGAUCGAUUACAACGUGGAAUGGUUUGAAGAAGCAGUUCCUUGAGAAGUACUUUCUCAACUUCCUGGGGAGACUUUGUAUGAGUAUUGGGAGCGAUUCAAACAAUUGUGUGCCAGCUGUCCUCAGCAUCAGAUUUCUGAUCAACUUCUUAUUCAAUUUUUUUACGAAGGACUGUCAUUGAUGGAUAGGAGUAUGAUAGAUGCUGCUAGUGGAGGCGUGUUGGUGAACAAGACCCCUACUCAAGCAAGGGAGUUGAUAUCAAAUAUGGCUGCCAACGCACAACAAUUUGGCAGCAGGCAAGAUCUCACUUCAAGGAAGGUGAAUGAGGUAAAUAUUUCUUCUGUUGAACAACGUUUAGAUAAACUUACUUCUCUUGUGGAAAAGUUUGUUGUAGGUAAUGUGCAACAGGUGAAGACUUGUGGCAUUUGUUACAAUAUGGGUCAUUCAACUGAUAUGUGUCCUACACUACAAGAAGAACCCGUUCAACAAGCCAAUGCAGUUGGAGGAUUUCCAGGCAUGCCUCAGAGGAGGUAUGAUCCUUAUGCACAAACAUACAAUCCGGGAUGGAAGGAUCAUCCCAACUUCAGCUAUGGAGUUAGGCAAUCAAGAUUCUCACAACAAUAUCCACCAAGACAACCAGCACCUCCACAGUCAAACUCCAAGUCAGGUAUAUCUCUUGAAGAAAUUGUUAAAUCACUUGCGACUAACACUCAACAAUUUCAGCAGGCAACUACAGCAAGCAUUCAGAACUUGGAGAACCAAAUGAGUCAAUUGGCAACUACAGUGAGCCGUCUGGAGUCUCAAGUAUUAGGGAGAUUGCCUUCACAAUCUGAGGUGAAUCCAAAGCAAAACGUUAGUGCUAUCAUCCUUAGAAGUGGGAAGGAGUUGCAAGAGCCUAGUAAGAAAGUGACAGAGCAUGUAGAAGAUGAGCUUGAGAAGAAUGAAUUGAUGCCUCAAUCUCAAGAUGAACAACCCACCAAAGCGAAACCCCUACCUAUUGUGAUACCUCCUCCUUUUCCAAGCCGGUUUGCAAAAUCCAAGAAGGAGGAACAAGAUAAAGACGUCCUUGAGACUUUUCGCAAAGUUGAGGUAAAUAUUCCUUUAUUAGAUGCUAUAAAACAAAUACCUCGAUAUGCUAAAGUCCUUAAGGAACUGUGCACCUCUAAGAGAAAAUUAAGAGGAGAUGAAAAAGUUCACAUGGGGGAGAAUGUUUCAGCAGUUCUCCAAAAGAAACUACCUCCUAAGUGCAAGGAUCCAGGUAUGUUUACUAUCCCUUGUAAAAUUGGUAGUGUUAGAAUUGAAAAGGCUUUGUUAGAUCUAGGAGCUUCUAUUAAUGUCAUGCCUCGUUCCAUUUAUUCAUCUUUGAAUAUUGGUCCAUUAAAAGAAACUGGCGUGAUAAUUCAACUAGCUGAUAGGUCUAAUGCAUACCCUGAUGGGGUAUUAGAAGAUGUCUUAGUACAAGUUAAUGAGUUGGUUUUUCCUGCUGAUUUUUAUGUACUUGAUAUGGAAGAGGAUAACUCCUCUAAUUUUGUCCCAAUUUUGCUAGGAAGACCUUUUCUUAAGACUGCUAGGACUAAAAUGGAUGUACAUAAAGGGACUCUCACUAUGGAGUUUGAUGGAGAGGUUAUAGAAUUCAAUAUGAAUGAUGCCAUGAAAUAUCCGAGUGAGGAACAUUCGGUAUUUUCUGUGGAUGUUAUUAACUCUAUAGUACAGGAAGUUUUUUACAAGGAAAAAACGAAGACAUUUCAUGAUAGAAUGAUUUUAAGAAAAGAGUUAUCUAUUGGUCAAAAAGUUCUUCUUUUUCAUUCUAAGCUUAAACUUUUUCCGGGUAAAUUACGUUCUUGCUGGGUUGGACCUUUUAUUGUUACUAAUAUUUUUCCUCAUGGUGCAGUUGAGAUUCGGAGUCCGACUUCUGACAAAGUUUUUAAGGUUAAUGGUCAUCGCUUAAAAACUUUUUAUGAAGGUUUUUCGGUGAAUAUUGUAGAGGAUGUGGCUCUCGAGAGUCCCAAUUAUGGAGAUUGAUGCAUAAAUGUGUCUAGCCAAAGACAUAAAACAAAGGCGCUUUUUGGGAGGCAACCCAAAUGAUUUAUUUAUUUUGGUUUUUGUUAUAUCUUCUUUUAAUUUUGAUUCAUAUUUUUUUUAAAUAAUGUGUUUGCUUAUUUUGGUCAGAAGAAAAUUUUUGAUAAGGCGUGCCCACGUCUUAACUAAUAAGUACUUCUGUGAUUUUUAAAGUAAAAUGGUUUUAAGGCGUGCCCACGUGCUUAUUAGAAAAGUACUUCUGAAAUUUUUAGUGUUUCAAGUGAUUCAUCACUAAAAAAAAAAAAAAAAAUUGUUUUCUUUCGCAGCAACAGCCGCUCUAGCCUUCACCGAGCAGCCCGUGCGCAACUAUCUCACCAUUUCCGCCAAGCCCAUAGACGUUAUGAGGAUCAAAGCUCACAAUUCAGGGAAGUUUUUGCCUUUAAUCUUUUAUCCUUACGAUUUAAUUUUUAUGUGAGCUUUGAUUAUCUUACAUUGGGGACAAUGUAAGUUCCUGGUGUGGGGGAGGGAUUUUUGCAUUAUUGAUGUCUGGAAUUAUUAUUUUCACUCUGCUCAUCUAUUUUCACUCUACUCAUCCUUAAAUGAUUUUGGAGUUAGUAUGCUUCAUAUAUUAUUAAUUUUCUUUUCCUUUCUCUCUCACUACUCUUUUCCCAUCUAUCUCAAAUUAUUUACAUCUAUUUUUUUUUUCUCUAUCAUACUCUUUCAUCACUCACAUUUUAUCUUUCAUUUUUUUUAAUACAUACAUCUUUCUCGCUUAUUAUCCUUUUUACCUUUCCUUUUAUAUCUCACUCAUACCUUCUUCUCAUUCUACACCACUAUUGAUGGUUGAUUCAUUUGAAGAGUGUACAUGAUUUGAUGGCAAUUUUACCAACUUUGUGAGGAUUUGAGCCUAUGAGCAACCACUUUGCUCUAAUUAUUUUUGUUAUGUGAAUAUCAUUCCUAGUUUGUUUAUUCUAGAACUUGCUUUGUUAUGCAUGUUGAAGCCACAUUACGGGAUUUUAUGCAUUAAAAUGAUAAGGGCAAACCAUUUACCAUUUUUCUAUUCUCGCAUUUUCCUUUUUCUCUACCUGAAGACCUUUAUUUGCUACCUUUGUUUGAGCCUUACCCAUUACCCAUCUAAUUCUCUCCGUCUACUUAACCAUUUUUCUUCUUUUUGAGCCUCAAUUUAAGGAGAUUUUUGGACUCAUUGUGUGGAUAUAUUUUGUUGCUUUUUCUACCUUGUAUUAAAGUUUCUCAAUUAGAUCAACAAGCAUUAUGCUUGAAUUAAAUUGUGCAAGGUUCGUUUCUUUUGUUUGAUUCAAAAAAAAAAAACAAAAAACAAAAAAAAACAAAAAAAAAGGAAAAAGAAAAAAAAGAGAAAAAAGAAAAAUCGAAAAAAAAAAAGUUUACAUUCUUGGUGACUUGAGUAGAAAUAAGCAUUUUGAUAUCAUAAGUUCAUUCAAUGAGUUCAUUCUUCUCGUUUUGAUCUCUUUUUCUUUCGUAAACCUUUCUUUUUCAUUUAACCCCAUUACAAACCUUUUAAGACCCUUAUAUUUUUGCAUUUUAUUCAUGUUUUGUGGAUUGAGAUGUGAUAUAUGAGCAAGCUUAUGGUAAUAGCAUUCUUUGAUUUGAUUUGAGUGCAUAAAUGAUACCCUAAACACUUUGAGUGCAUGGAGUGAAGUUAUUGAGAGGGCUAUUAAAUCUUGUUGCACUUGAAUUUUGAAUGGAUCUUCUUGGUGGUUGAAUGUUCUUAUUCUAUCUUAUGAAAUUCUAUGCUUUAAAAUCCUUGUCUCUUGAAUGUUGAUCGACUUAAUUUCUUGAGGUAUGCUUGCUUAAAAUUGUUUUUGGAUGAGUUGAGAUGAGAAUUGAGUGGAGAUUUGAGAUUAAUCUUGAGUUAUAUGCUUGAGGACAAGCAUCAUCUUGGUGUGGGGGAAUUUGUUAGAGUGCAAUUUAUGCACUAGUUUUGCAUUGUUUACUUCCCUUAAUAUCGAUGUUUUGCAUUUAAUAAUAGUGAUUUACUUGUGUUUUACUUUUGUAGGUGCAAUUCUAUUGAUUGGUGAUAAAAUUGAGCUAUAAGAUGAUGUUUAAGGAUGAUUGUUCUUUUGGAGAAAUUAUGAGCGGCAGAAGAACUUUGUCGAUAAGGCGUGGGCGCGUGCUGUCAACUGCGGACCUGCAGUUUUUAGUUUAACGUGUUUUGUAUUUUUGGCUAUUUUUUUAAUUACAAAUUUAAUAUUUCAAAUAUUAGUAUUUUAUUUUAAAUAGAACUCUAAAAGAGAAGAGAGAGAGAGUAUUUAAGGGAGGAAUCUAUUGUGAAAAAGGGGGAUUUGGAGAUUGGAGAAAAGAAAGAAACCCUAGAUCUAAUUUUUCUCUUCUCUCUAUGAGGAACUAAACCUAUUUUUCUGGUUGAAGGAUAACGAAGCUUUGAUUCAUCACUACUGUGAGAUCUUUCUUAUGCUUUAAUUGUUUUAUUACUUUUUGGGUAUUUGUUUAUUCUCUGAAUUAGUUUCAUGAUUAUGUUUGUUAAUUAGGUAAUUGGCCACUAUUUAAUUAUCAACUUAAUCUAUUGUCAAUUAAAGGAUUCAUCGUAUGAAGAAUUUAAUGUUUGUGCCAAAUAACAUAGCAGAGAGUUGUGUUGUGAGAAUAAACAAUCUAAUUUAAAUGAAUCAUCAUAUGUGUUGAUUAAGAUUUGGGUCUCUCUGGUUUUUCAGGCUGUCAAUUGAUUAAAUCCUAUGAUCGUAUCUAGGGUUGUCUAUUUGAUUAGGGAAAUAUCCAACGGUCGUACCUUGGUUAUCGACUAGUUAAGGAGAGAUUGGCUAUUAGAGGGUCUCAAUAGCUAUAACCGGUCUAUUCAUAAGUAAUAAUAAUCUAUAUUUGAAUCAACGAUCAGUAGUCGAAUCAAGCUGAGUUAAUUCCUUCAACCAGAGCUUUCUCAAAUUUGAAUCACAACUUUAAUUUACAUUCUCGUUAUUUUAAUUUGAUUUUUAUUAUUGUCAACAAUUCCCCCAUUUUACGUUUUACGUUUCAAAAGGAUUUAAAUAAUUACCGAUCUCUGUGGACACGACCCUACUCAAUCACUAUACACAAUUUAUUUAGAGUAGGAAUUUAUUUUUGUUGGCUUCGACACCCAUCACAACUAUCUAAGACUUAUAAAUUCUUAAAAACUCUUUCUCUUUGUAUAUGGUAAGGUAAGAAAUUUGAGAUCCAUCUUUAGUUCGAAAAAAAAUUAUGUCCAAACUCAAAGUCUUUCCUUAGUGAAGCAAAGAAAUUCGUACCAACAAUAUGAUCAUAUAAGCAAAUUAUUCGUGACCAACAAUAAGAAAAUUAUGUAUCAUACAUAAGUCAAUAAUGAGAUUUUUUAAAAAAGUUAAUUAUAGUAUAAUUGAAUGGUAACUUAAUUUUCUCCUACCCAUGUGAGCUAAGUGGUACAUAAGAAUGAGAGUUUUUUGAAUAAUAACAAAAAGUGUAAUAAAAUAUACUUAUCUAAACUAAACGCUGCAUAAAAAUUUCCUUUUAUAUACUACUCUCUCUCCCCCCCCCCCCCCCCCAACAAUCUAGGUAUUUUUUUAAAGUUCAUUUUUUAAAAGAUUGGAGAGUGGAUUAAAUCUAAAUCGAUUUUUUUUAGCCUUUACCUCCCUUAAAAUUCAAAAUCUAUUAGCUAGUUAAAUAAAAGUACUUGAAAAUUAUUUGACUAAAUCAUUGAGGGCAGAAUUUAGACACUGAUAAAUAGUUAAAAAUUUCAAUUAAAUAUGAUCAUCUAUUGGCAUUCUUAAAGUUCCGUAAUCACAGCCAGUACAAUGGUUCUAUCAAAUGAAAUAUUUCUAUCCAAAAUCAAUUUCUUUUUUAUCAUAUGGAAUUAAUCGAUUUGGAAUUGUGGAUUUUUAAUAGAUAUAAUAAAUACCCCAAGUAUGGGUGCUUUUCCAAUCAGGGAUCCCUGACUUUAAUAAAGUCAGGGAUUAGCUAAAAGAUAAAAAAGUUUAAAUUUUACUACACUACAUGAUAAAAUACAGUUUAUUGAAGUAUGUGUUUAUUUUGUCUUUUAGCUAAUCCCUGACUUUAUUAAAGUCAGGGAUCCCUGAUUAGAAAACUACUCCCCCAAGUAUUUUGAUAAUAUUCUAUAAUUAUCGUUGAGUUAGUGUGUGGCUUCGGGUCACCGUCAUGAACUUGGUCAGUCUAACAAAUAUAACGUAACCCAUGGUAUCAUCAAAAUAUGUGCAACGUUGCUCAGUAGAAACCAAAUCAGAUUAGGGAAAUUAUCUCUGUUGUCUUGGUCAAUCUUUUGUGACUUCAUCAAUAGACAUAACAUGUAGCCACGCCACAAUUUUUAAUUUUAAUUGGAAUGCUUAGAAGUCUAUUAAAAAUUAUAAUGUAACCUAACUAAGAAUAAUAUCAAUUUUUCUAUUUUAAUCUAAUAUUUAAUUAAACUAUUGCCAUUAUUGCACUUAGUCAUGGCUCAUAUGUGGAUCCACUAAUUGUUUCGCACCGUUGAUUGAUUGAGGGACGGUCAAGAUUUGAUUAAAUAUUGGAAUUGGUAUGCGAUCUCAUUAAAGUUGACUUCUAAAAUUGCAUUCUCAAUUAUUCAGAUUUAAAAAACAAGAAUGAUAAUAUGAUAGUUACGUUUUAAUAUUCUACGUUUGAAAUAUUAUGUUUCUUCUCAAAGCUGCAAAUCUCAUUUACAUUACCUGGUCAAAGACUUCUUGACAUAAAUUAUUUAUGCUAUUAAUUCAGUUAGUUAAGGAUAUACUUUAAAUGAUAUGACAUUUAAUCAACCAACGAUACAACAUAUAUCGAUUUAAUAUUAAGAUAUCUAAACAUAAUGAGACGACAAGAUCAAUACUCAACAUACAAUUUAAUUUUAAUACAAUUUCUUUCAUAAAUAUUGAUACAAUAAUAUUGAAUCAAUGUCAUGUCACUUGGCUUACUUUAUUUACUUAUUACUUAACUCUUUUAGUACCUAUACGUCACUCAUUAAACUCGUAUAUAUUUUGUAUGCAUCGAAUUAUUGAGAAUAGAAUUCACAGAGUUCAACUCUUGUGCAUGAACUGAGGAUUUCUCUAUUAAGUUUACUUGGAUAUGAUUAUAUUUUUGUUCUCUAAUUAUCAUUUGUUUUCAUUUUUUUUCUAUUACAUAUGAUUUUCAUUAAAUCACAACUCUAGUUGGCAUUUCACAUCACCCGCAAUUGAUUAGUUGCUUUCUAAUCCAACAAAAUUAAUAUGGAAAGAAAUAAAUGGCAACCGAUAAAUAUUCCAACAUUAUGUAUUACGCUGAAGAUUAAGCCAAUCCCACUACUACAAAACUGAAUUUCUUUGACAGAAUGCUUUUUCACAUGAUCAUGUAUGUGUCAAAGUUUUGUGACAAAUAUAUUAUUUUGCUGAUGUCGCAAACACAAUCCUUUCAAAAUCUUUAGAGGCCUUGAAAUUUUGAUUAUCUAUAAGAGAAUAGUUACAAAAUUCUGUCACUAAUAGUAAGUUAAGUGAUUCUUGAUAGAAUACUAUCAAAACAUUUAUAUAAAAUCUCACAUUUUAAUAUUUUACAAAAAUGUGUUUUAAAUAUUUUCAUUUUUUUGACAUAAUUCUAUCAAUGAACUUUCUUUUUAAAUUUUUAAUUCCACUUAGGCAUUGAAAAUGACAUAGUUUUAAAAGAUUUCAAUGACUUAACUGAUGUGAAUAUAUCUUUAAUAAGUCAACGACAAAAUUCUAUCAAAUAAAAUUCAUCACCUUAUCAGAUAAACAAAGGCCUGCUCAACCAAUAAGAAUUUGCCAUCUAAAGAGUUUAAUGGGUCUUUCAAAAAGCCUGACUUGAGUCUGAGCUUGAGUAUUUCAGGUCUAAUCUAAUAAGCAAGUUUAUAAAUUAUAAAUUUAUGAAAUACAAUGAAAAAGGUUUAAAAAAAAAAGAAAAAUGUUUUAAAAAAUUAAAGUAUAAAUAUGAGGUUUUACAAUUAAAAUAUCAAAUAGUGGCAAAAUGAGCGCCCAAAAAGUGCGGCAAAUUAAAAUUAUUCAAAAUUUAUCUCUUCAAUCCCUUUUUUUUUUUUAUUUUAGAGGGAAAAUUUUUUUAUGUACCACUGAAAUAAAAUUAACCCAAAAACAUUCUGUAAUUGAAAGCUUGGAACGAAUUUCACGCCUCUCGCCUUCUCUUUCACGCAUUUCGCAUUCCAUUUUCGCAUUAACACAUAAAAGGAGACACAAAUGGAAUAAUUAGAGAGAGGGAUGACCGGAUGAGAUUCCAUUUAUUGUUUGGUUAUAAAAUAAUUGAGUGUUUUUUUUUUUUUGUUAACUUAAAAAUACGUAUUUUUUUGUAUUUGAUAUUUAAUAGAAAGUUGAAAGUAAAAUCAAAUCCAUUUGUAAUAUAAGUUCACUUCAUUCAUAAAAUUAAACAUAUAGAAUAAAAUUUAUAAAUGUUACUUAUACAAAUACAUAUUACUAUUCAAAAUAAUAAAAAUUUUGCAUUGGAAACAAUUUUGAAAAAAAAAAUAAAAGUUUUUAAUGGAGAAAGGAAUUGUGGAGGGAAAGUUUGAUAGAAGAUGCACACUAGCUAGUUUUGGAAUUAUACCGUCAGGCGUCAGUCAUUUUAUAAAAAAAAAUGGAAAUAAUUUGAUCAGCCACCCGAGCUUUACUUCAGUGAUGCAUGUAUAUUCUAAGCUUCAUGACAUCAUAUUAAAAACGUAUUGCUAAGGUAAUUUGAAAUUCGUUUUAUCCAAUGAAUGUUACAUUUACUGGUAUGUUUAAUAUUUUGUUUUGGUUAAAAAUUUUGCUAUCUAACAGCUAAUAACUGAAUUUGACUCAUUUUUAUGUAAAUUUUAUAGACCCACCGAUUCACCAUUUUUAUGUUAUAAUCAUUGUAGGCAUGUUAUUUUUAAAUUAUGACUCCAUGUGAAACCAAAAUUUAAAUUUCACCAUCUUUUAUAGAGUUUGGUUAUGAUAAUCAAAUAAUACAAUAAACAAACACAAGGCAAAAAAAUUUACGUGGUUCGACGUAUUAAUUAAUAUGUCUACAUCCAUGGGUGGUGAUACCGAUAAGCCACUAUAUAAUGAAAAAGUGUACAAAUAAUAAUAAGCUCUCAGAUGCACCAAAAAAUUCAACAUUAUGUAUUACAUGCUCUGUCAUACCCUCCGCCCACAACAAACUCUCUCACCCUCCGAAGCCUGAUUAAUUCCCCAAUCCCUGCCGGCAAGUAUCUUAAAGAAUCAGUCCCCUCAUUGUGUAAAUACAUCAGCUUUCUUAACUUCCCAAUCCCUCGAGGUAAUUCUCUAAGAUUUUCACAAUCAUCAACGUUUAAACGUUCUAAAUUAUAUAACUCACACAACGUCUCGGGUAAUUUUUCUAUCUUCUUUUGACCUUUCAAAUUAAGGUAUUUCAAAUGUAACAAUUUUUCUAUAUUUGUUGGAAUUUCCUUGAUGAAAUUCUUACACAACCACGGUUCACAUACCUUUAAUUUUAAUGUCCUUAAACAAGUUAAUUUAUCAAAUAAUUGAGGUAGAACUUCACUAGACCAUGAAUAUUCAUCACUUUUAACUAAGAGGCUACGCAAUCCUCGCAAUCCUGUAACAUUACCCCAAAUGGAGAUCGGAACCGAAGCCCCCCUACGUAGAGUUAACAGUAAAUGGAUUUUUUUCUCCCCGAAAGAGCUAAUAGCUAACUCUUCACCACUAUGAAUUUCUACUGUUAAACAUUCAUUACUACAUAAAUAUUGGGCAAAGUCGUGCACGAUAUCGUGCAUUUUGCAAUUAGAGAUUUCACCAUCAUCACCUUUGUCAAAAUCCUGAAAGAAUGAAUGGCUAGCUAAGAUGUUGAAAUACUCUUCACCAAUAUCCUCCAUCUCUUUGGCUCCUUUCUCACUAAGAUAACCUUGUGCCAUCCAUAGUUCAAUUAACUUAUGCUUCUGUAUUUCAUAGUCUUUCGGAAAGACGGCACAAUAUGAGAAACAACGCUUUACCUUGGAGGGUAAUUCUUUGUAACUCAACAAUAGAGGGGCUAAAAGGCCUUUCUCAAUUGCUUCUAGUUCCCAUAUCUCACUCUCUAAGAUAUUUUGCCAUUCUUUUUCAGUGUUUUUAGACCGCAAGAGACUAGCAAUUGUCUUUGCAGCUAAAGGUAAGCCCUUGCACUUUUUUACAAUUUCUCUACCAAUUUUUUCUAAAUUUUCACGUUUUCCUAUGGUCUUACCAGAAAUUGCCAACGACUGAAACACCGACCAGCAUUCCAUUUCAGACAAUACAUUGACAGAGAUAACAUGAGUUGAUCCCAUAAUACGGGCAACUGUUUCUUUACGUGUGGUAAUUAAAAUUUUACUUCCAUGGAGACUAUUCUUUAAACAUUUGUAGAAUGGUUCCCACUUAUAGUAAUCUUCAUUCCACACGUCGUCUAAGACAAGAAGAAAUUUCUUCCCGGCAACACAUUCUUGAAUAUGUUGCAUGAGAGAUUGAAACUCUACAAGGUCUUUGGCAGAACCUGGCUUCAGAGACUCAAUGAUUGCUCUGGCGAUCCUGAACUCAUCAAAUGGCUCUGACACACAGACCCAUGUUCUUUUCUCAAAAUUUCUUUCAACAUCACCGUUGUUGUAGGCAAAUUGAGCAAGAGUAGUUUUGCCUAUUCCCCCCAUCCCAACAAGUGAGAUGAUAGAGGGGCCUUUCUGUUCUUUACUACCCUCACAUAACAACCUAUCAACGAGUUCGUUCUUCUC